CUUCAGCCUUUUAUUGAUUUCUAGAAAUUUUAGUUUGUGAAAACCUUUCUUUUUUUUAAUGCAGAAUAAAAGGUACGGGAAACACCUUGGAAUUUUUGGAUUUUUCUGCAGUCUUGCAAUAAUCUAACAUACUAGUAUCCAUGUGAUUCCAACCCUUUCUCAUCUUCUGGAUUCUUCCCUUCAAUUCAGAAGUCUCGACCUUCAUCCACUGAACCUUGGACAUCUACGUUACCUUCUAUCAAGUUCAGCAUCCCAUGGAAAUUCUUCCAUCAGUUCUACAAGAAGUUGGCGUUUAUUACCCUCUGUUGUUUCUGACUUUUUGGUUUUAUCAUGAUGUUUAAUAUUUUAUUUCUUUUGAGCAUCAAUUAGAAAGAGGAAGAAUGUUAAUUGGGUGCUCUGUUUAUAGUCUAUGCUCUGUGCUGAUUGGCUGUUUUUUCUCACUAUAAUAAGUCUAUGUUAUUUUCUUAUUAUGUGUAUGUUAUUUAUCUUAUAUAUCUUGUUCUUUAAAAGGCUGCAUUGAGUAGUAAAGAAAGAGUAAUGCAUAAAAA